UACAGAGGUCUCAAGCGUUGUUCGGAAUCACUGGGCGUAAAGGGUGCGUAGGCCGCACGGUAAGUCAGAGGUGAAAUCCCGGAGCUCAACUUCGGAAUUGCCUCCGAUACUGCCGUGCUUGAGGACUGGAGAGGAGAUUGGAAUUCACAGUGGAGCAGUGAAAUGCGUAGAUAUUGUGAGGAACAUCAGUGGCGAAGGCGACUUCCUGGACCAAUACUGACGCUCAGGUGCGAAAGCGUGGGGAGCAAACAGG
rnacentral:rRNA from 1 species